GAUAACACUUGGAAACAGGUGCUAAUACCGUAUAACAAUCGAAACCGCAUGGUUUUGAUUUGAAAGGCGCUUUCGGGUGUCACUGAUGGAUGGACCCGCGGUGCAUUAGCUAGUUGGUGAGGUAACGGCUCACCAAGGCCACGAUGCAUAGCCGACCUGAGAGGGUGAUCGGCCACAUUGGGACUGAGACACGGCCCAAACUCCUACGGGAGGCAGCAGUAGGGAAUCUUCGGCAAUGGACGAAAGUCUGACCGAGCAACGCCGCGUGAGUGAAGAAGGUUUUCUGAUCGUAAAACUCUGUUGUUAGAGAAGAACAAUGAUGAGAGUAACUGUUCAUCCCUUGACGGUAUCUAACCAGAAAGCCACGGCUAACUACGUGCCAGCAGCCGCGGUAAUACGUAAGUGGCAAGCGUUGUCCGGAUUUAUUGGGCGUAAAGCGAGCGCAGGCGGUUUCUUAAGUCUGAUGUGAAAGCCCCCGGCUCAACCGGGGAGGGUCAUUGGAAACUGGAAGACUUGAGUGCAGAAGAGGAGAGUGGAAUUCCAUGUGUAGCGGCGAAAUGCGUAGAUAUAUGGAGGAACACCAGUGGCGAAGGCGGCUCUCUGGUCUGUAACUGACGCUGAAGCUCAAAAGCGUGGGGAGCAAACAGGAUUACAUACCCUGGUAGUCCACGCCGUAUACUAUGAGUGCUAAGUGUUGGAGGGUUUCC
rnacentral:rRNA from 1 species